CUAGUCACAGAUUGUGAGAGUGCCAGUCUCUGUGUGAGAGUAUCAUACUGUGAGAGUGCCAGUCUCAGUGUUAUAGUCACAGACUGUGAGAGUGCCAGUCUCAAUGUUAUAGUCACAGACUGUGAGAGUGCCAGUCUCAGUGUGGGCAAACUGUCAGAGUGUCAGUCUCAGUGUGGACAGACAGAGUGUGGCAGUCUGAGUGUGGGCAGACUGUGAGACUGCCAGUCUGAGUGUGA